rnacentral:rRNA from 1 species
UACGUAGGCAGCAAGCGUUGUUCGGAAUUACUGGGCGUAAAGAGUGUGUAGGCGGUGCUCUAAGUUUGUCGUGAAAUCUCCCGGCUUAACUGGGAGGGUGCGGCGAAAACUGGAGUGCUAGAGGGUGGGAGAGGAAAGCGGAAUUCCUGGUGUAGCGGUGAAAUGCGUAGAUAUCAGGAGGAACACCGGCGGUGUAGACGGCUUUCUGGACCGUAGCUGACGCUGAGACACGAAAGCGUGGGUAGCAAACAGG